UACGUAGGGGGCUAGCGUUGUCCGGAAUCAUUGGGCGUAAAGAGCGUGCAGGCGGCCUGGUAAGUCCGCUGUAAAAGUCAAAGGCUCAACCUUUGAAUGUCAGUGGAUACUGCCGGGCUAGAGUCCGGAAGAGGCGAGUGGAAUUCCUGGUGUAGCGGUGGAAUGCGCAGAUAUCAGGAGGAACACCGAUGGCGAAGGCAGCUCGCUGGGACGGUACUGACGCUGAGGCGCGAAAGCGUGGGGAGCGAACAGG
rnacentral:rRNA from 1 species